ensembl:rRNA 5S_rRNA 5S ribosomal RNA
GUCUAUGGCCAUACCACCGUGAAUGAGCUUAGUCUCAUCUGAUCUCAGAAGCUAAGCAAGGUCAGGCUUGGUUAGUACUUGGAUGGGAGAAUCUAUACCUUCAGAUCCAUUUACAAACCCAGGGUCAUUAAUU